rnacentral:pre_miRNA from 1 species
UCUUAUGAAUGAGCAAAGGAAGCGAUUUCUUGAGAUGGAAUUUACUUCUAGUGGAGAUGCUGUGAA